rnacentral:rRNA from 1 species
GGUUAAGCGACUAAGCGUACACGGUGGAUGCCCUGGCAGUCAGAGGCGAUGAAGGACGUGCUAAUCUGCGAUAAGCGUCGGUGAGGUGAUAUGAACCGUUAUAACCGGCGAUUUCCGAAUGGGGAAACCCAGUGUGUUUCGACACACUAUCAUUAACUGAAUCCAUAGGUUAAUGAGGCGAACCGGGGGAACUGAAACAUCUAAGUACCCCGAGGAAAAGAAAUCAACCGAGAUUCCCCCAGUAGCGGCGAGCGAACGGGGAGCAGCCCAGAGCCUGAAUCAGUGUGUGUGUUAGUGGAAGCGUCUGGAAAGGCGCGCGAUACAGGGUGACAGCCCCGUACACAAAAAUGCACAUGCUGUGAGCUCGAUGAGUAGGGCGGGACACGUGGUAUCCUGUCUGAAUAUGGGGGGACCAUCCUCCAAGGCUAAAUACUCCUGACUGACCGAUAGUGAACCAGUACCGUGAGGGAAAGGCGAAAAGAACCCCGGCGAGGGGAGUGAAAAAGAACCUGAAACCGUGUACGUACAAGCAGUGGGAGCCUCUUUAUGGGGUGACUGCGUACCUUUUGUAUAAUGGGUCAGCGACUUAUAUUCUGUAGCAAGGUUAACCGAAUAGGGGAGCCGAAGGGAAACCGAGUCUUAACUGGGCGUUAAGUUGCAGGGUAUAGACCCGAAACCCGGUGAUCUAGCCAUGGGCAGGUUGAAGGUUGGGUAACACUAACUGGAGGACCGAACCGACUAAUGUUGAAAAAUUAGCGGAUGACUUGUGGCUGGGGGUGAAAGGCCAAUCAAACCGGGAGAUAGCUGGUUCUCCCCGAAAGCUAUUUAGGUAGCGCCUCGUGAAUUCAUCUCCGGGGGUAGAGCACUGUUUCGGCAAGGGGGUCAUCCCGACUUACCAACCCGAUGCAAACUGCGAAUACCGGAGAAUGUUAUCACGGGAGACACACGGCGGGUGCUAACGUCCGUCGUGAAGAGGGAAACAACCCAGACCGCCAGCUAAGGUCCCAAAGUCAUGGUUAAGUGGGAAACGAUGUGGGAAGGCCCAGACAGCCAGGAUGUUGGCUUAGAAGCAGCCAUCAUUUAAAGAAAGCGUAAUAGCUCACUGGUCGAGUCGGCCUGCGCGGAAGAUGUAACGGGGCUAAACCAUGCACCGAAGCUGCGGCAGCGAC